CUUUUUUAUAUUUAUGUGGAUAGGCAACGAUAAUUAAUUUCACUUAUUUUACUAAUUUUUUUUUAAAAUUACGUAUGUUGAAAAUGUACAAUGCAAUUUGAAGUCCGACUUAGGACCCAAAAAUUCUCAAGUCCGGCCCUAGUCCUAAGUCUAAGGGAGAAAAAAAUAUUAUGGAAUGGAUAUGUUUCAUCUUGUAGUAAAACUUGGGACGACUGAGACCCAUAAGUAAGUUGUUACGGGCAGGUCGUUUAACUUAGGUACUAUUAGUCUUUUUGCUAGUUAAAGAGGAAUAAAUGAGCGUUUGAUUGUCAAUAUUUUUUUUUAUGAAAAAUGUGUUUUUUUCCACCCAAAAUUUUUAGUUCUGUUCUAUUUGGGUGGCAUUUUUUUCCAGCUCAAAAUAAUGUGUGAAAAUAACAAAACCUUGCUUCUAAGUUAAGCAAAUUUACUUGUAAGCAAAGUCAAAGGUUUGUGGUGCAUGCAAGUUGGACAAAACGAAAGUAUGAUUGUAACUUUUGACCGUAAUCCCAAAGAAGAAGAAAAGUCACACAUAACGCGUAGGCCUACAUCAUUAUAACCUUGAAUAGAGAGCCUUUUCUCGUAAGUCAAAAUAAGUGAGCUCAGAUUUUGAAUUUAUUUUCAC
rnacentral:lncRNA from 1 species